rnacentral:rRNA from 1 species
UACGGAGGGGGCGAGCGUUAUUCGGAAUCAUUGGGCGUAAAGGGCGCGUAGGCGGCCCCGUAAGUCUUGGGUGAAAGCCCUCGGCUCAACCGAGGAAUUGCCUUGGAUACUGCGGGGCUCGAGGCUGGAAGAGGACAGUGGAAUUCCUGGUGUAGCGGUGGAAUGCGCAGAUAUCAGGAGGAACACCAAUAGCGAAGGCAGCUCGCUGGGACGUUACUGACACUGAGGCGCGAAAGCGUGGGGAGCGAACAGG